rnacentral:rRNA from 1 species
GACGAACGCUGGCGGCGUGCCUAAUACAUGCAAGUCGAACGCAGUUGCGAACGGGUGAGUAACGCGUAGGUAACUACCUAUUAGAGGGGGAUAACUAUUGGAAACGAUAGCUAAUACCGCAUACUAGUAGAUGGACCUGCGUUGUAUUAGCUAGUAGGUAGGGGAAUGGCCUACCUAGGCAACGAUACAUAGCCGAACGGGGGGGGGGGUCGGCCACACCUGGAAUGGGACACGGCCCAGACUCCUACGGGAGGCAGCAAUAGGGAAAGUUGGGGAAUGGGGGGAACCCUGACCGAGGAACGCCGCGGGAGUGAAGAAGGUUUUCGGGUCGUAAAGCUCUGUUGUUAAGGAAGCGGUACUUAACCAGAAAGGGACGGCUAACUACGUGCCAGCAGCCGCGGUAAUUC